UACGGGGGGGGCAAGCGUUGUUCGGAAUUACUGGGCGUAAAGGGCUCGUAGGCGGCCAACUAAGUCAGACGUGAAAUCCCUCGGCUUAACCGGGGAACUGCGUCUGAUACUGGAUGGCUUGAAUCCGGGAGAGGGAUGCGGAAUUCCAGGUGUAGCGGUGAAAUGCGUAGAUAUCUGGAGGAACACCGGUGGCGAAGGCGGCAUCCUGGACCGGCAUUGACGCUGAGGAGCGAAAGCUAGGGGAGCGAACGGG
rnacentral:rRNA from 1 species